rnacentral:rRNA from 1 species
UACGUAGGGUGCAAGCGUUAAUCGGAAUUACUGGGCGUAAAGCGUGCGCAGGCGGUGAUGUAAGACAGUUGUGAAAUCCCCGGGCUCAACCUGGGAACUGCAUCUGUGACUGCAUCGCUGGAGUGCGGCAGAGGGGGAUGGAAUUCCGCGUGUAGCAGUGAAAUGCGUAGAUAUGCGGAGGAACACCGAUGGCGAAGGCAAUCCCCUGGGCCUGCACUGACGCUCAUGCACGAAAAGCGUGGGGAGCGAACAGG